GGAGCAGCCCCGCCUCUGGGUGCAAAUACUGGUGGUGGAACUUGUCUGGGGUAGCAGAUUUGCAUUUUAAUGGCAUUUACCUGCACCCCACCCUUUCCCGCGUUUGUCUUUCCAGGACAGCUUUUCUCAGCUUCAGAAGUCGGCCAGUUAAAAUCAGGCGCUGCUUUCCCCGUGGGGCUGGGAGCUGGGGCGGCGGGCUGAGCUGCUGGCCUGACCCUGGAGGGUCCCGGGCUGACCAUUUUUGGGUGCUCUGGGUUUCUCUGCUCUUACUCUCGAAUUACAUCAAGUUACUACACGAUUUGUUUUAACAUUUAUUUAAAGAAAUGAGACCCCAGCAGCCUGUAAACCCAGGCCAAGCCAUCGUGGUACAACCACAAAACGGUACUCUCCAGCGCCAGAGGAGGCCGGAGGCCCUGAGGUUCCCAGCCCUGAGGUGAGGUUCAAGGUUCACCUGAGACCCCAAGCUUCCCUCAAAGGAUGGGACCCCCAAAUCACAGAGCAAGUAAGGUUCUAAGAACUGUGAAACUUCUUCCUUUCAUUUUAGAUUCUUCUGUCUUUGCUUGAUGGAAUUGUAAGUAUAGUUGAUUCUGACUAGGUAUCCUGGUCUUACAUUAUCCAGUUAUUUUAUUUUGGUGUAGAAAUUGUUGGAGUUGAUGGAAUGGAACAGAAACUCACAGAGUCUGCCAGCUAUGGCUAUUUACUUGGUGUACCUGUGAGGUGCUGUAAUAAAGCAGACAUGUCCUGGAGGGAGAGAGCCCUCUUUGUGCUCAGUUUCCCUUCCCGUGAGCAAGCUGUCAUUCUUCCUGGCACCUGCUGA
rnacentral:lncRNA from 1 species